rnacentral:rRNA from 1 species
UACGGAGGGUGCAAGCGUUGUCCGGGAUCAUUGGGCGUAAAGCGCACGUAGGCGGCUCUUUAAGUCUCUUGGUGAAAGGCUGGGGCUCAACCCCAUGCAUGCCGGGGAUACUGGGGAGCUGGAGACAGGUAGAGGCCAGCGGAAUUCCGGGUGUAGCGGUGGAAUGCGUAGAGAUCCGGAAGAACACCGGAGGCGAAGGCGGCUGGCUGGACCUGAUCUGACGCUGAGGUGCGAAAGCGUGGGGAGCGAGCAGG